AACGAACGCUGGCGGCAGGCCUAAUACAUGCAAGUCGAGCGCAUUCUUCGGAAUGAGCGGCGGACGGGUGAGUAACGCGUGGGAAUAUGCCCUUCUCUAAGGAAUAGCCUCUGGAAACGGAGAGUAAUACCUUAUACGCCCUUCGGGGGAAAGAUUUAUCGGAGAAGGAUUAGCCCGCGUUAGAUUAGGUAGUUGGUGGGGUAAUGGCCUACCAAGCCUACGAUCUAUAGCUGGUUUGAGAGGAUGAUCAGCCACACUGGGACUGAGACACGGCCCAGACUCCUACGGGAGGCAGCAGUAGGGAAUCUUAGACAAUGGGGGCAACCCUGAUCUAGCCAUGCCGCGUGUGUGAUGAAGGCCCUAGGGUCGUAAAGCACUUUCGCCAGAGAUGAUAAUGACAGUAUCUGGUAAAGAAACCCCGGCUAACUCCGUGCCAGCAGCCGCGGUAAUACGGAGGGGGUUAGCGUUGUUCGGAAUUACUGGGCGUAAAGCGCACGUAGGCGGAUUAGUAAGUUAGAGGUGAAAUCCCAGGGCUCAACCCUGGAACUGCCUUUAAUACUGCUAGUCUUGAGUUCGAGAGAGGUAAGUGGAAUUCCGAGUGUAGAGGUGAAAUUCGUAGAUAUUCGGAGGAACACCAGUGGCGAAGGCGGCUUACUGGCUCGAUACUGACGCUGAGUC
rnacentral:rRNA from 1 species